AAUGUAAUUUCUGGGUCAUAUGGUAAAAUUAUGUUUAAUUUAUGUAAGAAAUUGCCACUUUCUUCCAAAGUAACUGUACCAUUUGCAUUUCCACCACUGAU
rnacentral:pre_miRNA from 1 species